CAGCAGCCACGGGAAUACGAAGGGGGCUAGCGUUGCUCGGAAUGACUGGGCGUAAAGGGCGCGUAGGCGGCGAUCAAAGUCAGGCGUGAAAUUCCUGGGCUCAACCUGGGGGCUGCGCUUGAUACUUGGUUGCUUGAGUGGGGAAGAGGGUCGUGGAAUUCCCAGUGUAGAGGUGAAAUUCGUAGAUAUUGGGAAGAACACCGGUGGCGAAGGCGGCGACCUGGUCCUUGACUGACGCUGAGGCGCGAAAGCGUGGGGAGCAAACAGGAUUAGAUACCCCCGUAGUCCCUGUCUCUUAUAC
rnacentral:rRNA from 1 species